GGCUCAGGAUGAACGCUAGCGGCAGGCUUAAUACAUGCAAGUCGAGGGGUAACAUGGGUAGCAAUACCUGAUGACGACCGGCAAACGGGUGCGGAACACGUACGCAACCUUCCCAUAACUGGUGAAUAGCCCUCCGAAAGGAGGAUUAAUACACCGUAACAUAACGAAGAGGCAUCUCUUUGUUAUUAUAGGCUUCGGCCGGUUUUGGAUGGGCGUGCGCCUGAUUAGGUAGUUGGCGGGGUAACGGCCCACCAAGCCUGCGAUCAGUAACUGGUGUGAGAGCACGACCAGUCACACGGGCACUGAGACACGGGCCCGACUCCUACGGGAGGCAGCAGUAAGGAAUAUUGGUCAAUGGACGAAAGUCUGAACCAGCCAUGCCGCGUGAAGGAUUAAGGCCCUCUGGGUUGUAAACUUCUUUUAUCUGGGACGAAAAAAGGGUAUUCUUACUCACUUGACGGUACCAGAGGAAUAAGCACCGGCUAACUCCGUGCCAGCAGCCGCGGUAAUACGGAGGGUGCAAGCGUUAUCCGGAUUUACUGGGUUUAAAGGGUGCG
rnacentral:rRNA from 1 species